UUUUCAGCGUAAUGCAUGGAUUUUAGGGCUGAUUUUGAGUUUUCUUCGAUCGAUUUCAGGUUGGUUCGAUGAUCGCGAAGACGGAGGAGGUAUGUGAGCUGCUUCCUCCAGUAUUGCCUUGUGGUUUGAGGGUGGGAGCUGACGGAACCAAUCAGAGGGACGAGGAGGGUGAUCAUUUGCCCCUGUAUGCCAACGAGGUCCUUCGCAUGUUGAUUUCGAUCUGGAACGCAUUGAUCCAUCGAAAAUCCAAAUGCAUAUUGUUUUGAAUCCGAGGCCUAUAAUGACGUGCGCGUACAUAAUAAUCUCUCGGUCCUUCGCGACCCGGCGACGCAACCGGGAAUCCAAAGACGCGGAGGAGGAGGAAUAGAGAGCGCGAUGGGUCUGCAGGUAGAUUUUGAAGAAUAUGCUGCAAAAGCUAAAACUUUGCCUGUAAAUACUACUAACAAGAGCAAAUUGAUCCCGUAUGGGCUUUACUAGCAAGCAACUGUCGGACCAGUGAAUACUAGAAUGUGCUUCUUAAUAUAUUCUGAUUCGUGAUUUUCAUUCUUUGCCAAACAAAAUUUUGACACUUUUAUCUUUUGUCUCUUUGCAGGCUGACCUGGUAUAUUCAAUAUGAGGGAUAGAGCCAAAUGGGAAGCUUGGAAGGCUUUUAAAGGGGAGGAAGCCAAAGGAGGAGGCUAUGAGUGACUACCUCACCAAGGUUAAACAGCUGCUCGAGGCAGCUGCUACUGCUGCUUAUGCUACUUUGUCAAACCUUGCUCUAUGUAGUACCAUGGUGUCCUCGAUAUCGAAGUAAAGAUCAUGCUGGACUAGGAUCCUAAAAGAAAGCAGGGCACCAUUACUCCUUUGCCAGAUCAUUUUACAAUUCAUGCCCCAAAGGAGGAAGAGGAGUUACACUCCUGAAGAAUUUGAAUGCUACAACCUUUGUAGAAGGAAUUAGGAUUACAUUUCUUCUUCAUAAGCUUCCUUCCGGCAUGUAACAAGACAAAGUUCUUCUGAUUUAUGUGGCUGAACUAGUCGUAGAUUAACAUGAAGGAAGAUUGGGAGUCCUUAGACCCAUAUCUUAGUUUGUUCCAAUCUUCUCAGGAGUGUUAUUUGUUCUUAUCAUUUGUUUUGAAAACCGACGUGGUUACUCCCACAAAUUUUUACUGUUUUGUAGACUUGAUGUUAGUUAUUUGAAUUCGUAUGUAACACUUCCAAAGCUGGAAUAGUAGACUCAGAUUGGUUGUUUAAAUUCAUUCAAAAUUCUGAAUAUGUAAUUUAGAUAUAAUUUAACAAUUUUUUCGA